rnacentral:lncRNA from 1 species
AUGCGCCCUCUCGUCUCCGCCCCGCCCCUCCUCCUCCUUUCUCCCCGCCGUCGUGGCGUGUCGGCGAGCAGCGGCGCUGGAGGCUUCAGCAGAGGCGGCGGGACGCUGCGGGAGGAGCCGCAAGGAUUAUUAGACUCGAAGCUGCUCCUCGGCAACGGAGGAAAAUCAAACGGGAGACGCGCCCAGUUGGAGAAGACCACCAGGGGGCGACCUCUAGUGGGGUCACGGUCCCGUCCGUCUUGCAUUUUUGAUUCCCGUCGAGGUGCUGUCAAGUUCUUCUGGAGUGCGUUUGGGGCUCGUUUUGGGUGCCGAGGGGCUGCGACGUUUUUUAAAGAACUCCCUCUGUUAGCCUAUCUGGCUUUUUAAGAACUCCCUAUUUUAGCAUAUCUGGCAAACAUAAAAAAGAAAAAGAAAAAAAAAGAAGGCAAAAACGUUGUGGCGUUUUAAAGACUGACUGCUGUGUUUUAAGGUGAGCUUCCGUGGAUCACGUCCACCUGUCUCUUUUAGCUUCUUGUAAACUUCGGGAAGGGUGAUGAUGGUACUUCAUGCCGGUCCUAGUCGCUUGGACGACUUACUUAUUUGCCUACCCAGGUUCAGCACGCGGGAAAGCUCCGCAACGUUAGCCUCCCGGUCCUCCUGCUUAUGGUAUAGACAAGGGUCCCGAUUCUUGCUCGCUUGCUUCUUUGUAAAGCUUUGCGCUCAACUUUUCUCAUCUCGGUGUCAGGCUUUGUUUUUUAUGGCCGAGAUCGUCUGCGGCUGCACGGUUCCUUUAAGAAAAAAACCAAUAACAAAUCAGCUUUCAUCUUUUCACUGGCAUUCGCAACAUCCCUUUAGCUUUGCCAUGGAGAAAUGAAGUCUAUAAAUUCCUUUCAACAGUUUUGCCUGCCUGCUUGCUUGCUUCCUUGCGGGAGCUCCAGGGGCUGUUGUCGAGGCAGCCUCUGAAAGCAGCUGUUAUUGCUCCUACCGUCGGUUCUUUUCCAUUUCUUCUCACAUCAUUCUGUAAGGAUAAAUAUGUAUUUUUUAAACAAAUCCCCCAAGCUUCUGUGUUGGUCUCAGGAAGCACAGAACAGAAAAUAUGUGCCUCAGAAAAUAAAGAAACAUUAAAGAAACA